rnacentral:rRNA from 1 species
UACGGAGGGUGCAAGCGUUAUCCGGAUUCACUGGGUUUAAAGGGUGCGUAGGCGGGCAGGUAAGUCCGUGGUGAAAUCUCUGAGCUUAACUCAGAAACUGCCAUGGUUACUAUUUGUCUUGAAUAUUGUGGAGGUAAGCGGAAUAUGUCAUGUAGCGGUGAAAUGCUUAGAUAUGACAUAGAACACCAAUUGCGAAGGCAGCUUACUACACAGUUAUUGACGCUGAGGCACGAAAGCGUGGGGAUCAAACAGG